AUGACAAGGGGUGGCGAUGCGGUGGCGGAGGCGAGCGAGCACCUCCUUGGCCCGCCGCCGGCGAGGGGCGGCGACGGAUCUUCGCUGGGGAUGGUCAUGGCCAGCACCGGCGUCGCCGUGCUCGGCUCUUUCGCCUUCGGCGUCGCGAUUGGCUACUCGGCACCAGCUGAGGCCAGGAUCAGCCGGGACCUCCAGCUGACCCUCUCCGAGUACUCUGUUUUCGGGUCGGUAAUAACAAUCGGGGCCAUGAUCGGAGCGGUCGUGAGCGGGCAGAUUGCGGAUGUUGCUGGACGCAAAGGGGCGAUGAGGGCGUCUGCUCUCGUUUCCAUCGUCGGAUGGCUGGCUAUCUUCUCUGCACAGAGUGCUUCUUCACUUGAUUUUGGGAGAUUUUGCACCGGACUCGGCGUCGGAGUGUUUUCGUAUGUGGUGCCGGUUUUCAUUGCGGAAAUUGCUCCGAAGGCUCUUCGCGGGGGGCUUACAGCUCUGAAUCCAUUGAUGAUAGGCACUGGAUUGUCCGUGACGUAUAUCGUCGGCACGGUUGUGUCCUGGCGCAUGCUGGCCAUGGCUGGACUUGUUCCAUGCAUAAUUCUCAUAGCUGGUCUCUUCUUUAUCCCUGAAUCGCCUCGAUGGCUGGCAAAGGUUGGCCGGCAAAAGGAGUUUGAAAUAGCACUGCAGCACCUCCGUGGCAGAGACGCGGAUGUGUCCCUGGAAGCUGCAGAAAUCAAGGACUUCGUCGAGACCAUUGACAAUCUUCCAAAGCCUGGAAUCCAGGAUCUUUUCAGCAGGCCAUACAUCCGUCCUGUCGUUAUCGGCGCGGGUCUAAUGGUUUUCCAGCAGUUUGCAGGGAUAAAUGGCAUCCUGUUCUACGCCAGUGAAACAUUUGUCUCAGCUGGGUUCGAUUCAGGAAACCUAGGAACAAUCUUGAUGGCGUGUAUCCAGUUACCACUCACAACACUUGGAGCUCUACUGAUGGACAGGAGUGGCAGAAAGCCACUAUUAUUGAUUUCCACAUCUGGACUCCUCGUCGGGACUCUUAUGUCAGCAGUAUCAUUCUACCUUAAGAUUCACGGGAUAUUCCCGGAGCAAGUCCCAGUCAUCACACUCACCAGCAUAUUGGUCUACAUUGCAAGCUAUUCACUAGGGAUGGGUUCCGUUCCUUGGGUCAUAAUGUCAGAGAUAUUCCCCAUCAAUAUGAAAGGAAUCGGCGGAAGCUUCGUGACUCUGGUGAACUGGUUGGCUUCAUUAGCAGUUUCUUUCGCCUUCAACUUCCUCAUGAGCUGGAGUGCUUCAGGAACAUUCUUCUUCUUCGCCUUCGUUUGCGCGGUGGCUAUUCUCUUCAUUGUGAAGAUCGUGCCGGAGACAAAAGGCAAGACCUUGGAAGAGAUUCAGGCUUCCAUAAACUGCGGCACAUGA
rnacentral:rRNA from 1 species